rnacentral:rRNA from 1 species
GUCUACGGCCAUGCUACCCUGAACCUGCUCAAUCUCAUCUAAUCUUGGAAGCUAAGCAGGGUCAGCCCUGGUUAGUACUUGGAUGGGAGACCACCUAGGAAUACCAGGUGCUAUCGGUG